GACGAACGCUGGCGGCGUGCCUAACACAUGCAAGUCGAACGGGGUAGUUCCUUCGGGGACUACUUAGUGGCGAACGGGUGAGUAACGCGUGAGAAACCUGCCUUUCAGUGGGGGACAACAGUUGGAAACGACUGCUAAUACCGCAUAAUGUUUCGAGAGGGCAUCCUUUUGAAACCAAAGCUUUAUGUGCUGAAAGAUGGUCUCGCGUCUGAUUAGCUAGUUGGUGAGGUAACGGCUCACCAAGUCGACGAUCAGUAGCCGGUCUGAGAGGAUGGACGGCCACAUUGGGACUGAGAUACGGCCCAGACUCCUACGGGAGGCAGCAGUGGGGAAUAUUGGGCAAUGGGGGAAACCCUGACCCAGCAAACGCCGCGUGAAGGAAGAAAGGGCCUUCGGGUUGGUAAACUUCUUUUACCUAGGGACGAACACAAUGACGGUACCUGGAGAAAAAGACAACGGCUAACUAACGUG
rnacentral:rRNA from 1 species